rnacentral:rRNA from 1 species
AACGUAGGUCACAAGCGUUGUCCGGAAUUACUGGGUGUAAAGGGAGCGCAGGCGGGAAGACAAGUUGGAAGUGAAAUCCAUGGGCUCAACCCAUGAACUGCUUUCAAAACUGUUUUUCUUGAGUGGUGCAGAGGUAGGCGGAAUUCCCGGUGUAGCGGUGGAAUGCGUAGAUAUCGGGAGGAACACCAGUGGCGAAGGCGGCCUACUGGGCACCAACUGACGCUGAGGCUCGAAAGUGUGGGUAGCAAACAGG